rnacentral:rRNA from 1 species
GAUGAACGCUAGCGAUAUGCCUAACACAUGCAAGUCAAACGAAAAGUAAUUUUUUUGUGGCAAACGGGUGAGUAACGCGUAAGAAUUUACCUUUAGGAAAGGAAUAAUUAUUAGAAAUAGUAGCUAAAACCUUAUAUGCUUAAGUUAUUAAGUGAAAAAAGAAAUUUGCCUAAAGAGAAGCUUGCGUCUGAUUAGCUAGUUGGUAGGGUAAAGGCUUACCAAGGCGACGAUCAGUAGCUGGUCUGAGAGGAUGAUCAGCCACACUGGAACUGAGACACGGUCCAGACUCCUACGGGAGGCAGCAGUGAGGAAUUUUCUGCAAUGGGCGAAAGCCUGACAGAGCAAUAUCGCGUGAGGGACGAAGGCCUGCGGGUUGUAAACCUCUUUCUUCAAGGAGGAAAAAUUGACGUUACUUGAGGAAUAAGCAUCGGCUAACUCUGUGCCAGCAGCCGCGGUAAUACAGGGGAUGCAAGUGUUAUCCGGAUUUAUUGGGCGUAAAGCGUCUGCAGGUUGAUAUUUAAGUCUUUUGUUAAAGCUCUAUGCUCAACAUGGAAGAUG